AUUGAACGCUGGCGGCAUGCUUUACGCAUGCAAGUCGAACGGUAACAGGCCGCAAGGUGCUGACGAGUGGCGAACGGGUGAGUAAUGCAUCGGAACGUGCCCAGUCGUGGGGGAUAACUACUCGAAAGAGUAGCUAAUACCGCAUACGAUCUAUGGAUGAAAGCGGGGGACCGUAAGGCCUCGCGCGAUUGGAGCGGCCGAUGUCAGAUUAGGUAGUUGCUGGGGUAAAGGCUCACCAAGCCAACGAUCUGUAGCCGGUCUGAGAGGACGACCAGCCACACUGGGACUGAGACACGGCCCAGACUCCUACGGGAGGCAGCAGUGGGGAAUUUUGGACAAUGGGCGCAAGCCUGAUCCAGCAAUGCCGCGUGCAGGAAGAAGGCCUUCGGGUUGUAAACUGCUUUUGUACGGAACGAAACGGCUCUGGUUAAUACCCGGGGCUAAUGACGGUACCGUAAGAAUAAGCACCGGCUAACUACGUG
rnacentral:rRNA from 1 species